rnacentral:lncRNA from 1 species
CUCUUACUCAAGCACACUUUCAAAAUACAUAAACUCUUACUGCACAAGCUCUUACAACAUACAUGUCUCCUAUACAUACACAAAACAUAAACCCCAAAGCUCAUAAAUCAUGUUCAAUGAUUUAUCAGUAGGAUGUCUAUUUAUGACAUGUUGGCCGACACAGCCUGCCCGUGGAUCGCUGUGUUAUGCUCUCGUAUGCCAAUCCACGGUCGAGAUGGAUAACACGCCCUAACCGUGAAUCCCUUUGGAAGUUUACGCCUUAGAGUUCCUAAAAACACGACUAUGGCACCAUACACGACAACAAAAACCACUGUAUAUGGGGAAAAUGUUGCAAUAUACAUGGGCAAAUCCUCUGUCCUACAUUUGGAUAUUAUUUCUUCAUUUUUUGCAUGCAAUGAGAACCCCUGCAAACUUUAAUAAAAUAUGAAAAGGUUGGUCUCUACAUUUUCCACCCAAAUUCCUCAGAAUUUAGAACACAGGGAGCCACAUCCAUGACCCACCGCACUAAUCACAAAUGAGACAAACCAAACCAAACCCACAUGCAGGAUGCAGCACCCAAGAAACUUCACAAUUAGGCUUCAUCCUUAUCCAAAAAAACUCUCAACUUGGCCACAUUUAUAAUCUCUUCCUAUAAAUACCUUAUAUUUUCAACAAUUUCAUUAAGAGACAAAAACAACAUUUAGCAUCAACAAACAUACAAUUUCAUAUUAUAUAUAGUGAUCAAAUUCAGAAUCAAGUUCAACUAUAUCAGACAUUGCUCUAUUGGUAGCAGAAGAAUAUGAGAGGAGGACCAAGCACAUGAAUAUUAAAAGGGUAAGUGCUGGCAUUUUAACAUCAAUAUUUCUUUUCACAAUGUAUUUAACAUGAUAAACAAUAUUUUAUAUCUCUUAUAUACUUUUUAUCAUCUUUUAAUAAACAUUUCUCCUGAAAAAUACAUGCAAAAAGAAAACACAGUAUUAGUGUAUGAUUCCUAAUUAAAAUCGCAUUGGUUGUUGGGUGAACCUAACAAAUUGGAAAUAAGUGUAAGAGAUCAUUGUCAUUGUCAGAACCAGUUGCAAUUUAAGUGCUGCAUGUAUAGCUGGAAUUAACAAGGAGUUUAUUCAUUCAAUAAAUACUAAAACCUACUUUCCCUUAGUGUUCAGGAUUAGGUACAAAUUCAAUAAACUUCACCCUAGUGUCCUAUAUGUGAAUUUCAGGAAUCAAACCUAAACCCCUUCAACAGAUUAGGCCAAGAAUUACAUAGGGAAUAGCUUAAUGGUAGCAAUUCAUGGGAACAAUGAUUAUUUAUCUCUGAGAUCAUGAGUUCGAGUCGCAAGAGGCUCUCUUUGUAUUGAAUAAAAUAUUGCAGAGAAUAUUUAAGCUUGUGGGUGACACGCUCAAUAUAUUCAUGAUCAUAGGGAGUCGCACUACCUUUUUCUAAGAAAAAGGACAACCUAAUGCAUAAGAUUUGGACUAGUGGAAAAGGUAAAUGAGCAUAAACUAUGUUACAGUAACAAAACAAUGAAAAGUAAUACCAUUAAUUUAGAUAUAUGUGCACAUAAGGGGAUACAUCAAUGUUCUUGUGAAAAAUCCUACCAGAGAAAGAACAAGUCCCCAUGCCUAAUACUAAUCUUUUCGGAGUGUGUAGUUGCUCCUUCCAACAACUGUCACUCUGAGGAACGAACUCUUGACCUUUUGGUCAUCUUAAGAUUUAACAGAACCUUACACCACUAGACCAACACCGUGUUGGUUUUUGCCUAGUAAACUAACAAAACUUAAUUAUUACCUAUAUCUUGAACAUAAAUCAAUGAAAUCUAUAGCUGAAAGUAUGGUCAGCACGUAAUACAUGUAACAAAAAUGGAAGUUGUUCAUCAUUCUCAUUAACAUCAUGAUGAUCUACCUGAACUUGAAGAAGAUGCUGAUGAUGCUUGAACACAACAUCAUCUGGUAACAAUUUCUUCCUACAAAGAGGACAUGUAGCACAAUAUUCUUGCAACAACCAUUUAUCUAAACAAUGUUUAUGAAAUGUGUGUUUACAUUUAAGGUUCCUUACCUUGUCACCUUCCUUCAAUUCACAUAAGCAAACACUGCAUUCUAAACAAUCAAGUUUCAUUCUUUUGGUGUAACAAAUUGUGGGGUGUUUUUCUUCAAUGAAUUUGAGGAAUUGGGGUGUGGUAAUUGGAUGUGUAUUAUGUGACUUUAAUUUACGAAUAAGAAGCAUAAGCUCUAUUAUGAGGAUUAAUAAUAGGAUGAUAAGUUUAUUGAUGAGCUUAGAAAGAAUUUCCAUGGCUGAUAGCUAUAAGAUAAUGGAUAUGGCUAAAUAGAAUAAGGUUUUGGGAUAUGGGUUUUGUUUUAUAUGAAAAAUACAAAUGUGAAGAUAGCCGCCUCUAAUGUCAUAAGGUUUUUAUUAUAUUCAUGUAUUGAGUCAUACUUUAUACUUUUCUUACAUUAUGGUUUAAAAUGAAAAAUAUUGACUAAUACAAAAGAAUAUGUCAAAAAAUAUAUAUCAUUAAAGAAUAUGUUAACUUAAUCACAUAAUACAAUAAUAUACCAUAAAAUGUUGGUCUAGUAGUGUAAGACCUACUAGAUUUUCAAGGUCGAUGAUUCGAUUUCUGGGAGCGACCCUUGUUGGGAGGGGUAACCACAAACCCUGAAAGAGAUUAGUUCUUUAUCUAAAAAAGUGAGAAAUACUCUUAAUAGUACAGAAAAAAGAAUACAAUAACAUAAAAAAUUUAAUGUUAUUAAAAGUUUUUUUUUCUCUUUUUUUCAAGAGGAAACUCAUAAUAGAAAGAAAGAAAGUAUGUGUUUUGACGGUGUAAAUUCUUUUACAUUGUUAAUGUAUCAUCAAUUGUUCAUAUUUAAAUGUAGAGUUUAAAAUCUACUAUUGUCAGUGUCAAGUUUUUUAUACUGUUAGCAUAUCCUCCAUCGUUGAUUUAUAUUACUUUUGUUUAAAGUUAAUGGUGAUUAACAUAUAAAUGAUAGAUGAUUUGUUGACAAUAUAAAAGAUGCUUACAUUGUUAGUAUAAACGUAUUAAAUCCUUAAAUAUAAUAUUUAUGUUGAUUAUGUAUAAAUAUUACAUACCAAAUGAGAAUAAUGUGAAUGUGUGCAUUUAUAUCUCAUGCCCCCAAGUAAUUAACCAACCAAUGGAUUGAUGUGAUUAGGCUUUGAUUGUUUAUUUUUUUAAUGAGAAAAAAUGUAUGUAGUGGUAGUGUAUGAAUUUUAUAUAUUAUUAAUGUAUAAUUGAUUAUUUGAGUUUAAUCAUUAUUGAUUUUUCAAAAAAAAAUAAUUCAAAUGAAUGGUAGAUAAUGUGAUGAUGGUGUAUAAAUUUUUACAAUAACAGUGUAUAGAUAUUACAUUAUAUUUUUUUAAUUUGAUCAAUCAAUAUUUUUUGUACAACCAAUGAUAUUCUAUGUCCUAAGGACUUGUUUGUGAGCUAGAUUUUGGAGGGGAAGAGAAAUCUAAAGUUUAGAAGUCAUCUCACAAGUGUAUUUUGUGGCUCCCUCCCUUCCCCUCCAAAUUUCAACUUCCAAACUAACUCUAGCGGUAAAGAACUAAUCCAUUUCAUCCAUCAGUUUAUAAGAAAAAAUGUAUACAUUAAUUAUGUAAUAGUUUUUUACAUUAUCAUUUCAUCAUUCAUCAUUCAUUGACUCUUAAAUAUAAGUAAUACAAGAUAAGUGAUGAAUGAUGUAUUGAAUAAAAUCUUGACACUGACAAUAAAUAUAUUACACUCUUUAUUUAUAUUUAAAAUGAUAUUUAUGGUAGGCAGCAAUAUUUUAAAUUACACUUCACAAUCACAAUUACAAACAUGGUCUAGAGUCUCCACUAAAGUAUCACUACUAUAAUUGUGACACCAUAGGUCUCAUUAUUAUUAUUAUUAUUAUUAUUAUUAUUAUUAUUAUUAUUAUAAACACAACAUAAUCACAUCUAUGAUUUAGAUUGUCUUAAAGUUCUCUUACAAAUCCACAAACCUACUACACCCUAACUUAUAUAUAUUGUUUGUCAAACAAAAUACUAGCAUUCAAUUUUCUUUAAUCUGGCAAAAAAUUCUUACAUGCUUAUAGAAAAUAGACUUUUCUUCCUUAUAAAAGAUUUAAGUCAUACAUAGGUUUGGGAAAAAAGUAAUUAAAUAAGGGAGAAAAUUAAAGGGUACCAUGAUAAUGUAAAAAGUUUUGUAGAGUUGUAUGGAUGAUGAGGAAUGGUUGUAUAUUCAAACAAUGGAUUAUCCCCACAAUUUAACUAUAAUUCAGACUUCAAACAUUUCACAAUAAAUAAACAUCAUAUUAUCUCAAUAAAGUAAAAUCUACCAUUUUUACUCAUGAUAAGUUUUAUAUCUUCCAUUUUUUAAGUUUUAGUAUAUGAAACCUUUAUUUAUGAAAUUAUUAAUCUAUAAUAUUAAAUUCUGUAAUUAUUAAUGUAUCCAAAAAAACUUGUAAUUAUUUAUGUCAUAAUUAAUUAUUUAAAUAAUUGAGUUAUAUGUUGCAAAUAAUAAUAUUUAUAUUAUAAAUUGUAUGUGAUUUAAUUAGUAAAAUAUUAAUUGAAUCAUUGUAUAAUCAUAUUAGUACUCUCACAUAAUCAGUAUGAUAUUAAUAAAACUAGUAAAAUUGUAAUUUCGUCAAAUUUUGGCUAUAGUUUAAACUAGCUUGGUUAUUUUGGGCCCAACCCACACUUUCCAGAUUUGUCAUUAUUAAGCAAGAAUCAUUUUCAAUGUGAGACAAGUUUUCCAUAUGAAGUCCACCUUCACUUUAUGUAGAAUCACACCUAGUUCAUUAUUCCAAUCUUUCACGUCCAAUCAUAUAUAACAAUUCUAUAGUUUGAUAUUUAUUAUAAAAAUCAGGUUUGUGUUGGAAAUACAAAGGAUACAUCAAGCCCAAAUCAAAUCCCAAGAAGUUUAAUGCCUCCAGAAGCAAACACUUGACCUCUUUUCUCUUUUGGAAACUUUUUUAAAAUUCUGUUAUUUUUGUUUUCUGUUGUUAUUGAAGAUUGGUUAGAUUCAGAAUCAUUGGUUGGAAUUUGUGGCUGGUCCCUAAAGUCGGGAAUGAGAUAUGAGAAUAUAUUGGAUUGAUUGAUAGGUAAUAUAGGUAUGAUGUUGUGACUAGUGUUUAUAUCAGGUCAUGAUUUACUAUGGAAUGGGAAGAUAUGUUCCAAAAAGCAACAUUCCUAGAGAUAAAUAUGUCAUUUGUUUUGAGGUCUAGAAGUAUGAAUCCCUUAGUACCUUGUUUGAAUCCCAAAAGAUACAUUUUCUGGAUCUAGGGGCAAGUUUUGUUCUAUGAGAAACCAGGGUAGAGGCAUAGCAUAAACUGCCAAAGAUCUUCAAGUUGAUAAAGUUAGGUAGAGUUUGAUACAAUACUUCAAAAGGAGAUUUGUUAGAUAGAAACAAAGUAGUCUGCCUAUUGAUAAAAAAAUAUAGCAUGAGAACAUCAUAAUUCCAAAAACAAGUAUGUACAUUAGAUUGAAAGAUCAAUGCUCUGAUUACACCAAGUAUGUUUUGGUGUUUUCUUUCCACAAUACCAUUUUGUUGUGGUGUUUCAACACAAGAAGUUUGGUGUUGUAUUCCCUUUUCAAGAUAAAAAUCCGUCAUUAAGAAUUCCCUUCCAUCAUCACUUCCAAUAGUCUUGAUUUUCUGGUUAAAUUGAUUAGUUGCAUAUGACACAAAAAUUUUAGCAAGUUGAGUGGCCCCAGUCUUUUGUUUCAUAAAGAAAAUCCAGGUAAACCUGGUUUUGUCAUCUACAACUGUUAGAAAAUAUUUAUGGCCAAAUGUGGAUGGUGUGGAUAUAGGUACCCAUAUGUCUAUGUGUAUCAAGUCAAAAGCAGAAAUAGAUGUGCUGGUGCUAACAGAAUAAGGCAACCUUUUUUGUUUGGCUAGGUAGUAUACUUCACAAGGGUUUGCAGUUUUAUUGCAUUGUAUGAAAGGAAAAAUAGAUUGCAUAUGAACUAGUUUCUUAUGAGACAAAUGCCCUAGUCUAGAGUGUCAAACAUUGGAGUCAUUACAUAGUGUGGUGUAGUAUAUUUCUUGUUGAAUUUAAUUAGCAUAUACAAUCCUCUUCUUAGCUCAGCUGCACCAAUCAUCUUUAAGGAGUAUGGGUCCUGAAUUUCACAAUGAUUGGUUGAAAAAAUUAAUGAGCACCCUAUAUAGAUAGUGAGUUUUGAUAUGGAAAUAAGGUUGAAUUUAAAGAUUGGCACAUAAAGAACAUUAGUAAGAUAGAGAGAAUUAGAGAAUAUGAUAGUUCAUGAGUAGUUAACAUUGACAUGAUUGCCAUUUGGUAAAGUGAUAGAUAAAGGUUUAAUCUUCUUGUAGUUUUGGUAAAGUGAGAGGGUGUGACAGACAUGGUAUGUUGUCCAUGUGUCAAGAAUCUAAUGGCUUGACUUACCUAUGGUAGAUAUCAUAGUUAAAAGGUUACCUGAAUUGGAUUGAUCAUAGCCAGGUAUUGAGGCAUUGAUUGAGCUAAUUUGAUUUGUGUUGUGUAUGCAUUGACUUAAGGAUUCUUGAAUCAGGUUCUUUAAGGCAUUAUGUUGUGCUGGUGUGAAAAGAGACCUUGAAUCAGAUAUAUCUACCUUACAUCUUGUCUUUGCAUUAUCUUCUGGUUCAUCAAUUGAUGCAUCUGCUCUUGAGUAGCAAUUAAUAUUGCUUGAAUUUGUUGAGUAGCUUGGGGGAACCCAUGCUUUUUAUAACAUACAUCAAUGGUAUGUCCUGUUCUUUGGCAAUAUUUAUAGUCUUUCUGACCUCUACCUCUAGAAAAGGUCCCAAAUCUUCCUUGGACAUUAGAUCUUCCACUUGAUGAACCUCUAAGGCCUCUUCCUCUCCCUCUCUGUUUGGUGUCAAAGUUGUUGCUUGAGAGAUUGACUGCGAAUCUUGGUUCUUCAAACAACAUCUGUCUUUCUUGUUGGAUGAGAAUUGAGAACACUUUGUUAAUGGAGGAUAGUGGAUCCAUAAGCAUAAUCUAUGAUCUAACAGAGGAGAAUUGUUCAUUCAUUCCUCUAAGAAAACAAAUUACAUAUUCACUCUCUAUAGUUCCUUAUGGUGGAUAUUAAUGUGUAGUGGCAUUUUCUGCAGCAAUAAUUCUGCUCUACAAAUUGAUGUCAAUCCAGUUUUUCACGAAAGAACAAAACACAUUGAUAUGGAUUGUCAUGUUGUUCGUGAAAGAUUGACAAACAACACCAUUCAUCUUCUUCCUAUCCACACUUCAUUUCAAUUAGCUGACAUCUUCACCAAAUCACUAUCACCUGCACCAUUUCUCAACAUUAUCUCCAAACUUGGCAUCAUUAACAUCCAUAUGCCAAGUUUGCGGGGUGUGUUGAAAAUACAAAGGAUACAUCAAGCCCAGAUCAAAGCCCAAGAAGCUUAAUGCCUCCAUAAGCAAACACUUGACCUCUUUCCUCUUUUUGGAAACUUUUUCAAAAUUCUGUUUUCUGUUAGUUUGCAUUUCUGGCAAAUUUUGUUUUUCUUUCUUUUUUUGUUUUUCUGUUGUAGCCUAAGGUAGAUAGUAUAAAUUCACCCUUUUGGGUAUCUCAAUAUAAUUCAGUUUUGACUUUUGUAUAUAAGUAAAAGAAGUAGCAUUUCAAAGUUAAGUUUUACUAUUCAUUCUUCUUCUUCACUUGGAUUCGGUUGCUAUUAUUACACAACCUGUGGCUAUCCACUUUACUUUUGGGCAUGAUUCAUCAUCUUAAUAGUUUGCAUUCGUUUUAAGAUUAGAUCAUACACGGCUUUGAAUUCCAUAUUUGAGUUUAGGGAAAACUCGAAACCAAACUUAGACAAAACAGAUUCUCCCCAUUAAAUUGAGGUUAGGUUCGAAUAUUAAUGUUUUUGUUUAAGUUGUCAUCCAUAGAAGAAGGGUCAAAAUUUUGAUAAGCAAUGAGUUGUGAUUUGUUAAAUGGGGUUUUCGGGAGGGGAUAUGUCCUAUCAAACCUAAAAGGUGUUGUGAUUGUCUCUUUCAAUAAGUGUCGUUCUCACUAAUCGAACUAUUGACAUUUUAAUCUUUUCUAAUGAUCUAGCAAGAUUUUACACUACUAGACCAACAUCUUAUUAGUAACAACACUACUUUUUGGUCUAUUUAAAAUAUUAAGUAGUUUCUAAAAUACACUAAAUGGUACAAAAUCUACAAAUGUUUGAAACUGUUAAAUACAAACUAUGAUUCAGUCACGAGUAAAUAAAAAGUCGUGAUAUAUAUUUUUUAUGCCUCCCUACACAUUCCCUUAUUAAAUUAAAAAUGUGAAUUUAAAAUGUUAAAAAGGCCUAGUUCUCAACAAAAAUCAGUAACUAUUCAUUCUUUUCUAAAACUUUAAUAUUUAAUGUUAUACAUACAAUUUAAGAAGUCAAUAAAUAAUAUAAAGUUAAAUAUAAUUUGACUAAAUUAUUCCUAUAUUAAAUUUUUAUAAAUAAAAAAAUGUAUACAUUGACAACGUAAAAGUUUUAUAUCACUACAAAAAAUACUCCAUUAGCCACGGUUAAAACCGUGGCUAUUGUAUCAUAAAACCGUGGCAAACUACAGCAGCCACAGUUACCUCUACCCUAGCAAUUACUGGUGUAGCAAAAAUUUAGCUACAGUCACUUUAUGAUAUAGCUACGCUUUUGUGAAGUGUGGCAACAUUUCUUUAACCACGGUUCAACCGGGGCUAAUUUAUUCCAUUUGUUUUAACCACACCUCCUCAUGGGUAAUUUAUACCAUUAUUUUAACCAUAGUCUAACCGUGGCUAAAUCUUUAUUCAAUUAUUUUCACACAUAUUCAUUUCUUGCUCCUGUUUAACAAUCAUUAUAUUCUAUAAUAUAAUGGUAACUAAAUGAAAUUAAAUAUUUAUAAGUUAAUAAUAAUAACUUUUUUUUUAAUGAGAAAACUAAACCAAAUUGUCCAAACUAGAGAAAAUAAACAUUUCCAAAUACUAGUCAGGAACACAAUUAAAAAGGUUUGCUUAUAAACAUAAUAUAGUAGUGAUGCUAAACAUGAAAAUAGUUUCAUAGAGUAACUUAUUUGCACUAACAAUGUCUGGGUUUGGAAAAUGCUCUAAAAUAAUUUAAGAAAAAAGAAAGAAAUCACUUCAAGCAUGUUUGCCCCAACCAUCAGGGAUUGCAAAUAGCACGAUUAGUUUUGAGGGCCUAAGGAAGGGUACACCACACUUGAAGUACCAUUUCCUGUCCAGCUGCACAAUACAUAUCCACAUUGAAUGUUUCACAUGUUUGAGUCUCCAUAUGCAAGUGUCUUCUUUUUUGUAGAUGGGUUUAGCACAUCAAUGAAAUUCUCCCCUUCCUCAAGCUGGAACCAAAGAAAACAUAUACCGUUAAUACAAACCCAUUGGGUACAAUUAAAGAUGGUUGAGUUUCGACAAUAAGUUCAAUUUAGCGAACAAUAUAGGAAAUAAAGUUAAGAAUGUCUUCCAUAUGACACUUUUAGAAUAGGUAUUGCUUCAAUUAAUGGCAUCAACUGACCACUACAUUGACUUAAAUCAAAAUAGAGUUUAGAUGAUUACUAUAUUUUUCCUUGACAAUAGUAUAUUGACUUAGAGGAUCACAUUAAAAAAUUAUGAGCCACUAGAACUCAUAAACAUCUCUUUUAUGUGGUAUUGUAUUAAUUAAUGUGUUGAAUUGGUGCAUCUUAAAAAACAUCAUAUACUGUUAGUGUUAUUAUUGAAAGAUAAAAAAUGAAGCAACAUAUAUAAAACUGAUAUCAGACGAAUAUGAUGAUAACAAAAAGAGAUAUAUAAUAGACAUAGAUUGAGAAUAAUAUAUAAAAGUAAAAGACAUAUAUAGGAAAUGAAGAAAGUGAGAAAGCAACAUAAUAAAAAAAUCAUAGUCAAAGAAGGAAAUAUGAAGAAAUGUCCAGGAGUUUCGAUGUCCCAUUAAUUAACUAAAGUGCAGUUGAGGAGGAAGGAAUUACUUAUACAGUUGUCAGACUUUCCAAACUUCUAACCCAUGCUCAUAUCCCUCUAACAUAAUUAUUAUGAUAAUUAAUUCUAGGCUAUACAAUAUAAUUAAUAAAAUAUCAUAGUAGAGUAUAACUAUUUAACUACUUACACAUAGGUGAGACCAAUAAGAUCCGACAGAGAGUCAUUGAACUUGUUAUGUAAUAAAUAACUGCAAAAGUUAUAGUCACAACCUCCCCUCGGAGAAUUUGAUUUGUUUAGAAAAACACAAAGUUCUUAUAGACAAACUAUUAUGAAAUUUAACAGAGGCAUGUAUCUUUAGUUUUCUUACAACUUACUACGUUUUUCGAGAUUGUUGAAGUUUGAAGGCAUUCCCAGUUAAUUCAUUCCUAUCAAAGCGUAUGUGUCUAUGGUCAAGAGAAAAUAUUCAAUACAAAGAAAAUAAAAUAAAUUCAUAGAUAGCAUAGUUGUGUUAAUAUUUGCACUAGCCACUUGACAUAAUGGACAAGAUACUUACAAAACCUCUACCGUGGUCACAAGACUAAGGGUGCGUGGAAUAGUACCAACUAGUUGGUUAUUGUCGAAAAGUUUGACAAAAAGAACAUUAAGGAUUAUAAAGACACAUAUGAGUAAAAUUGAAUGCAUAUGAAACAUCAUAAUCUUUUGACUAUAUGACAUGAAGAACCUUGAUUUAACAUUCAUGCUCUUAUUUAAUUUUUGAAAUUCCAAAAAAUAAUUACUAUUAGAAGCUUACACAUGUUCUAGAACCAUACUGGAGUUGAAAAGAUUUGGUAAUGUUUGACCAGAGAGUUUAUUCUCCACAAAAUGACUGCAUAAAUGGAGAUAAUAGUAGAUCAUUCAAUAAAUUGAAAAAUAUAUAGUCUCAUUAGUGCAAACAGAUUUCAACCGAAGAAAAUUUCAAAAAAAUUGAACAAAUAGAAAAGUUAGGGUUUGGGAAUUACCAGCGAUGUAUCAACAAAAUCAGACGGAUCAACGACACUAUUAUCGGAAUCGAAAAGUUAGGGUGUUGUAGAAGAGAGAGUGAGGGCUGAACGAAAAGAGAAUGAGAGUGAGAUCUUAGGAAUGGUGAAAACGAAGUUGAGUUGGGCAAUUUUUGAGAGAGAGGCGAAAAUGAAGUUGGUACUGCCUUAUUCUAUCACGAGCCCCGCUAACUAGCAAAUUUGGGCUUAACUUUAAUUAACCUCACUUUUAAUAAGUGUGGCAAUAUUAGUAAUACCAAUAUUCCUUUUUUUGUAGUGUAACCAUUUAUAUCUAAUCAUCAUUAACUCUUCAAAAAAAGUAAUAUAAAUAAAUAGUGGAUGAUGCACUAAUUAUGUAUAAAUUUUUAUAUUGAUGAUGCUUAGAUAUUUCACUCAUUUUUAUAUAUUUCCACAAUUAAUUUGUCACCAUAAUUUGAUCUCAAUUCUAAUACGUGGAGAAAUUCUUUGAAAGAAUAAUUAUUAAGAGAAUAAUUACUACAAAGAAUAGUAGUACAUUGAAAGUUGGAGAAAAGUAAAUAGUGAAUAGUUUCAUCUCAAUUCCGCAUGUACAUUGAAAAGCUACUAAAAGAGAGAUUAGUACAUUGGGAAAAUGUGCUUAAAUAAGUAAAGGUAGAUUUGGAAAUAUAUAUACCUUAUACUGAUUUUAAAAAAAAAUCAAGAGAUAUGUAACAAGAUAAACAAUUAAAACAUAAAAAAAUAGGAAAAAAUCAAGAGAUAUGUAACAAGAUAAACAAUAAAAACAUAAAAAAAAUAGGAGCGUAGAAUCAUGUUUUUUUGUAUUACCAAAGAUAUCUUAAGGUAAUCUAACAUAAAAAGAUAUCAAUAAGUGUCUCAGGAAUUGAACCAUUGAUAUUUUGGUUAUUUUGUAAUCUAUCCGGAUAUUAUAUCACUAGACCAACACCUUAUUGGUUAUGAAAUCACAUAUACCCUAAGGUAAUCUAGUUCAAUUACUUGAAUGAAUUGCAAGGAAGUGCUUAGAGGAAUGUUUUUACCGUAACAUUGAAGUCUGACAUUUAAGUGCUACAUAUGUACUUCUUGAUGAAUUAUUUAUGAUAUGAAUAUUUGUAUGCAUCUUUAUAAUUUCCUACAAUAUAAUAAUACUCUACUUUUACUGAAAUGGAAAGCUUAAACUGAAUGUAUAUAUUAUCUUUCCAACCACUUGUUCAUGUCCACAUCUAGUCUCGUUACUAAUUCUUUAAUUUAUAAAAAGCUUGUUAAUGUCGCCAAUCACAAUUAGACAAAGCUUUUCAUUUUGUGGUAUUUUUAAUUAUUAUUUUAAAUUUCACUCCACAUGUAAUUAUAGUGGUAACAUUAUGAUUUCGAAAGUCUAUCGUAAACUCAAUUAUGGUCAUGUUAGUUAUAUUUUCCCAAAAUUUUCUUAGUUAUGAUAAAUACAACUUAACUAUAAUUGCGAUAACAACCAUAAUUUAUAAUACUGAUUUUAAUUACUUUUUUUUCCUAAGUGUGAAUACCACCGAACUUUUAACUUAUGUUACAUUAACAUAUACUAUUAUCCAACCUUAUCUUUGCUAAGUUGACUAUAGAGGAUGUAAAUUAUUUAUAGUAAAUUUAUUUAGAAAUCACCAAAGAGAAACUAAUUAAGUUACAAUGAUAAUGAAAGCCAUGCAAUCAAAUGAAAAAUAAGGUAUUAGGUGGUUUCGCGAAGGGAUUGGCUAACAUAAAGUUUUUAAUUGUUUAAUUCCAUUAGCAACUUUUACAGUUAUGAUAAGCUAUCUAUAAGUUAACGAUGUAAUGCUUUCAUGAUAGAUAAUAUUAUACGUCAAAAAGCUUAGUUGAUCUCGUCAUGUUGAGUGCUUAAUAUUACAAGAUUGUAAUUACUAUGAAUUGAGAGUAUAAAGAUUUAUAUACGAUUAUUAUAUCAACUAAUAUUCAUUUGUAUUACUUUUUGAAACGACAAUGAUCAUUAAACAUAAAUGAUGGAUAAUAGAUCAAUGAUGUAUCAAAUUGUUAUACUUUCAAUAUAUACAUUUUUUUCCUUGAUAUUAUAAUUGAAAACAGACCAAAAACUAUACGAAUGCUACAUGAGUAGUACCCACAAUUAGUGGCCACAAAUAAACUAACCCAAUUAGUGCAUGUUUCUAGUUACUAAGAUUAGUAACUAAAUUGAGGUAUUAUAUAACUUCAGUAUUUUUCACAAAUGUUGAUCUAGUUAAUAAGAAUUCAACUUGAGUUUAAAAUUUGUAUACUGACCGUCCUAAAUAUAAGAGAGAGAAAAUAUUAUUAUUAGUCUUAACAUCAAAUCACAAGUAGAUAUCUUUAAUGGGAGAAAAAUGUACCUAUGACUUCAAGGUUUGUAUGAGGCCUCAUUUUUGUUUAAAUUUUGCUUUAAAAUCUCACAUAGUUAAGAUGAUGGACAAUUUUGGAUUUUCAAUUUUAUUUGGUCUUCAUAAUGUAUAUGAACCCUAAAAUAAAUAUCGAUAUAAUUAGAAGUCCUAUGAGCUUUUAGAAAAUUAGAUUACUUUUUUAAUCUAAAAUAAAUAGCCGAUAUAAUUGUAUUAAAUAUAUGAUGUUUAACUUAAUUAGAAAGUAUACGAAUUUCUAACAAUCUCUCACUUGAGCUUGAUAUUUUUCCUGAAACAAUUAUAUCACAUACUUUUUAGGUGCACAUCCAUAUACUAUUUAUAUUUAGAUUUCUCCUUAAUAUAAUCUUGUUCUCUCAUAUAACAACUAUGGAACCACCAUGACCUUCAUCACAUUCAAGCGUGACUCGACCACAAUGAUCACCAUAUUAAUAUAGUUAAUAAUAACAUAGAUCAAAUAUGGAUGAGUGACAUGGAAAUUUUAUGCAAUGUGAUCUCAAACAUGUCUAUUUCUAAAUGGUCUUUCUUUAUUCUUUAGUGAGAUCAAUACAAAGUCUUUAAUUGCAAUAUAAUAGUUACAAUAUACAAGUUCACAAUAGAACAAUAAACCAUAACUUUAUUAUGCAUAAAGCUAUAUAUAACAUUCAAAGUAAAUCAUAAAAUAUAUAGACUCUCACUUAACUAAGGUAUCCUAAGGAACAACACAUAUAUGAGCAAUAUGUUCAUGAAAAACUCCAGGUACCAAAUCUUUAGCCAGUGGAUCAACUAGCAUAAAAUUUGUCCAUAUAUCUUCUAUGAAAAUUGUCUAUUUUAAAUAUUUUCUUUAACAACCAGAAUCUUGAUGUCAAUAAACUUUGACUUUGUAGAACUCUUAUUAUUGUUGGAGUAAAGAUGGAGGUCAGAUAGUCCGCGUAGCCAUACAAAUAUUACUCUUAUAUCUUUAUUCUCUAUACAUAACCUCACAUAUUUGACUUAAAUGUAGAAGUCUCUUUUCAGAUACUCACCGAAACAUCAACACCAAAGAACAUAUGAUAACUUGUUGGGAUUCUAAAUGUUUAUAUACUACUAAAAAUGAUUAAUUAUCUUAGAUUUAUAUACUCGUGUCUCAGAUAUUUUAUUACGAGUGUAAUAUUUAUGCAUUGUCACAAUAAUAAUUUAUAUAUAAUCAGUAUAUUAUCUACCAUUCGUUUUAUUAUCUAUUUCAAAAAGACAAUAAUUGUUAAAUAUAAAAGAUAAACGAUAAAGUAAUAAUGUAUAAAACUCUUAUACAUAAGUCUUAUUAUUAUAUCAAAAGAACUCAUUUCUUUUAACGAUAAAUGGCUAUAUUAAAUUUUGGUUAAUUUAAAAAUACAACCCUUAGUGGCCUAGUGGUGCAGCCCUGAAGUAUAUGCCUUUUAAAUCUGUAACUUGGGACUAAAAAUACAUUUAAAAUUUAAUAUAAAUAAUUGAAAACAGUCUUGUCCUUCAACCAUACAAAUUACCAACAAAGUAUUAGUCUAGUGAUAUAAGGCCCUAAUAGAUCCCAAAGAUGACUGUUAGAAAUUUCUAAUUUCUAAUUAAGGUGAACAUCAUAUAUUUGAUACAAUGAUAUCACCUAUUUAUUUCCGGGAUUAUAUUAUAAGUGAUCUAAUUACUGGCUCCCCUUAGAUUUUUAAAAGCUGAUCAAGGAUAUAGGCUUAAUGGGUGGAUACCCAUCAGGCUAAUCCAUAUGGGAUAAUGGGAACCCUAUAAGUUAACACAUAAGGAAGAUUAUGGUCCCCAACACACCAAAUUAAAUUCAGUUUUCUCCUCUCCCCAUCAGAGUGAAAACGCAAGUCCCAAGAGGAAUCAGAGAUUUGGUUGAGGAAGAUCAUCCUACCACAAAACCUCUUUCAGAAACGUAGAUCAAAGGAGCACAUUCAGGAACAUGGAUUCAGGUAUGACACUGCACCCUUUGUUUCAUAUAUGUGUGUGAGAAUUAUGAGAUUCAAGAUUCUAGGAUUGAUAUUUCACCAAUCAUAAGGAAUUCCCAACAAGUGGUAUCAAAGCUGAGGUUCUGAAUUUUUAUGAUUCUCCAUUAAGGUGUUUUCCCCAAAUUUUGUUUGAACCCUAAUUUGGGAAUUUUUUUGUUCGCUUCCGCUAUAAUGUUAUGAAAAUCGAGAAUAUGUGAAUUGAUUAUUAUAUGCAUUGUUGAAUCUCAUUGUGUGUCAAUAAUUUAUUUGGAAUCAUGUAUAUACUGUUAUAAGCCUACAUUCAACAUUAAGUGAUAUUCACGCCCUUCAUAUAUUUCAAUCCUUGUUUUCAAAAGGAGUGAAAACUUCUUUCAAAUCAUUUCAAUAUACAUAUUGAAAUUUAAAGAAUUUUGUUUUGCUUUUUACUUCUUUUGCUUUAUUAAAAGAAAACUAAGGUAAUUUAUCCUAGUUUUCAAAACUAUGAUAUGCACUUUUGUUACACUGUACAUGAAUUCUUACAGUGAACUUCUAUUUUGAGUUUGCACUACUAAAUCAUAUUUUGCAAUAUAUAUGUGUUAUAUAUUGUUAUAUUAUGCAAAUUGAAUCUCUGUAUACAUAUUUACGUAUGUUUUAAGAUAUGUAUAAUCAUGUUCGAUUUGGAAUUAUAUUGUGGGAUUAGAUUUGGUAAUCACAAAAGAUAUCAAAUCUGAAGGUUUUAAUUCCAAAAUUAAAAAUUUUCAAUAGGCACAUACUGCUUAUUCUUUUGUCUGGUAAUUAUUUUAAAUUAAUUGAUGCAAUAUGUUGCCAAAGUAAGCUCUAUUGUGGAAAUUAAUUGAAAUUAUACAGAUGAGUAUGAGAUUAUUUAUGCGAAUUGUGUUCGGCCCAAAGGAAGACACAUUUUGGCCAAAUAAUAACAUAUCUACGAUGAUAAAUAUGUAACAAUUAUAAAGUUUUUUUCCAUAUGAAUAAUAGUCGCUCCAAAGAAAGGAUAUUGUUUGAUAGAAUUAAUUGUUAAUAUUUGAUUAUUACAUUGAGAGUACCACUUACAAAUUAAUUUCUUUGUCCAAAGACUAGAAAUUGAUGUUGUGUUAUAUAUCUUGUGAUGGGUCUAUUAUGUGAACAUGUCUUGUUUUUUGUAUAUAUUACAUGACUUGUUUGUUUAGAUUUGAACAUGUUAUUAAUUCUUUGUUAUAUGGAUUCAGUGUCUUUUACCAAUGCUACAAAUUUUUUUGCUCAAAUCAGUAACAUUCCAUUGCUGAAUGGGACAAACUUUCAGGUCUAGAAGGAAGUCAUAGAAAUUAUUCUCGGCUGUAUGGAUUUGGAUCUGGCACUUCGUGUGGAGAAACCCAUUUCCACUGUGGAAAACCUCGAUGAGGCUAAAAUUAAGAAAUGGGAACGCUCUAACCGAAUGUGUCUGGUGAUCAUGAAAUGCUCUAUUCCAGAUGUGUUUCGAGGCUCUAUAUCUGAGGGUGAAAGUGCAAGAAAGUUCCUUGAAGAAUUAGAACAAUUCUUUGCCAAGAAUGAAAAUGCGGAGACGAGUAGCCUUUUGGCUAAACUCAUCUCCAUGGAGUAUAAAGGCAAAGGGAACAUAAGGGAGUACAUUAUGGAGAUGUCUAAUCUCGCAUCAAAACUCAAGUCACUUAAGUUAGAGCUUGGUGAUGACCUGCUCAUGCACUUGGUUUUGAUCUCUCUUCCUGCACACUUUGGGCAAUUCAAAGUGAGUUAUAACACUCAGAAGGACAAAUUGUCCCUUAAUGAGCUUAUAUCUCAUUGUGUGCAAGAGGAAGAAAGGUUGUAGAGAGAUAAGACUGAAAGUGCUCACUUGGCUAUGAUCCCUCAAAAUAAGAAAAGGAAGAGCAAUUAGGAUGUUGCAAAAGGGUCUUCUGAACAAAAGAAAUUGAAGAGUAAUAAUGAAUUUAGCUGUUACUUCUGUAAGAAGCAAGGAUACAUGAAGAAAAAGUGUCCUAAAUAUGCCUCAUGGCGUGUAAAGAAGGGUAAAUUUCUAACUCUUGUUUGUUCUGAAAUUAAUUUGGCUUUUGUACCCAAUGAUACUUGGUGGGUAGAUUCUAGUGCUACUACUCACAUUAGUAUCACUAUGCAGGGUUGCAUGUGGAGUCGACAGCCAAGUGAUGAUGAGAGAUUCAUCUUUGCGGGUGAUGGCAAAAAGGUUGCAGUUGAGGCUAUUGGAACAUUUAGAUUAUGUUUAAGAACUGGUUUUCAUUUGGAUUUAUUUGAGACAUUUGUUGUACUGUCUUUUAGGCGGAAUUUAAUUAGUGUUUCCAGCUUGGACAAAUUUGGUUUUUCUUGUUCUUUUGGAAAUAAUAAAGUUAGUCUCUAUCAAAAUUCAAAUGUUGUUGGUUUUGGUUCUUUAAUUGAUAAUCUAUAUAUGAUUGAUGUUUCCAGUUCCACUGAUGAAAUACUCCAAACAAAUUCACGUGGUACGAAACGAAAAUUAAAAGAGAAUUCAGCCACGUUAUGGCACAAGCGUUUAGGUCAUAUAUCUAAACAAAGAAUUCAAAGACUCGUGUCAGAUAAAAUUCUUGACCCUUUAGAUUUAUCAGACUUUGAAGUAUGUGUUGAGUGCAAAAAGGGAAAACAGACAAACAAAAGGAAGUUAGGUGCCGAAAGAGCUAAAGAUGUCUUAGAACUAAUAUAUACAUAUAUAUGUGGUCCUUCCCAUAUGGCUUCCUGGAAUGGACAAUAUUAUUUUAUUACGUUCGUAGACGAUUACUCUAGGUACGGCUACCUAUAUCUUAUACAUGAGAAGUCUCAAUCCUUGGAUGUUUUCAAGUCUUUCAAGGUUGAUGUUGAAUUUCAACUUGGAAAGAAAAUUAAGGCUGUCAAAUCUAACUGUGGUGGUGAAUACUAUGCCAGAUAUGAUGGAUCAGGAGAACAACGUCCAGGGCCAUUUGCGCUUUUCCUCAAAGAGUGUGGAAUUGUUCUGCAAUACACUAUGUCAGGCAAACCUAGCAUGAAUGGUGUUGCUGUGCGACGAAAUUGAACUCUUAAGGAUAUGGUGAGAAGUAUGAUUAGUCAUUCUUCCUUACCAGAGUCUCUUUGGGGGAAGCUUUAAAGACUACAGUUUACAUCCUUAAUAGGGUGUCAAGUAAAGCAGUUAAAAAAACUCAUAUGAGCUUUGGACUAAUAAAAGACCAAGCUUGAAACACUUGCACAUUUGGGGUUGUCCAGCUGAGGCGCGGCCUUAUAGACCGCAUGAAAGAAAGCUGGACUCUAGAACUGUUAGUUGUUAUUUUAUUGGCUGUGUUGAACGCUCUCGGGACUACAAAUUUUAUGAUCCCACUUCAAGACUCUUUUUUGAGACGGUAAAUACAAGAUUUCUUGAAGAAGUUGAUUUUGGGAAGGAAGAGAACAUAAGAAGUAUUGUCUUUGAGGAAGAACCUGUCACUGAUAGUGAGCAAGUUCUUGUGAUUAUUAUCAUUCAAGGAAUAAAUUCGGUAAUAGAAGAUAACGUUCAGAAUAUUUUCCCUGACAAUAUUUGAGAAUAAGACAACAAUGGGGUUCUCCCUCAAGUACCUAUAGAACAAAUUCAACAACCUUAAGAAGUAGAAGCGUCAUUAAGGAGCUCCACUAGAAAGGAGAAGUUCAAUUCCUGAUGAUUAUAUUGUAUUUCUUCAAGAACAUGAGGAUGACAUUGGGUUAACAGAAGAUGAUCCAUUAAACUUUUGUCAAGCCAUGAAAAGUUCUAACUCUCAAAAGUGGAUCGAUGACGUGAAGGAUGAGAUGAAGUCUAUGCAUGAUAAUGACAUUUGGGAUCUUGUUCAAUUACCUGAAGGUGCGAAACAUAUUGGUUGCAAAUGGAUAUUUAAAACCAAGAGGGAUCUGAAGGGUAAUAUUGACAUAUAUAAAGCUCUUUUAGUAGCUAAAGGCUUCACUCGGAAAGAAGGCAUUGAUUAUAAAGAAACAUUCUCUCUAGUAUCUUCGAAGGAUUCUAUUAAAAUAAUAUUGGAACUAGUGGCUCAUUUUGAUUUAGAGCUACAUCAGAUGGAUGUUAAGACUGCGUUUCUUAAUGGUGACAUUAAGGAAACGGUCUAUAUGGUGCAACCAGAAAACUUUGUGUCAAUUGGCUCAAAGUCUAUGAUAUGCAAAUUAAAGAAAUUCAUCUAUGGGCUUAAACAAGCUUCUCGUCAAUGGAAUCACAAAUUUCAUCAAGUUAUUACCUCGUAUGGUUUUGAGGCAAAUAAAGUUGAAGAUUGUGUAUACCAUAAGUUUAUUGGGAGUAAAUUUAUCUUCCUGAUAUUAUAUGUCGAUGAUAUACUUCUUGCUAGCAGUGAUAUGAGACUAUUGCAUGAGACCAAGAGAUUUCUAACGAAGAAUUUCGAAAUGAAAGAUCUUGGGGAAACUUCUUUUGUAUUAGGUAUUCGGAUAUUGAGAGAUCGCUCUCAAGGUAUCACAAGAAAGCUAUAUAGAUAAAGUCCUAGAUAGAUUUGGCAUGAAAGACAGUAAACCAGGGGAUACCCCUAUAGCUAAGGGAGACAAGUUUAGUCUCGAACAGUGCCCCAACAAUGACCUUGAAAGAUACGAGAUGCAAAAGAUUCCUUAUGCAUCUGCAGUAGGAAGUCUAAUGUAUGCUCAAGUUUGCACACGUCNNNNNNNNNNNNNNNNNNNNNNNNNNNNNNNNNNNNNNNNNNNNNNNNNNNNNNNNNNNNNNNNNNNNNNNNNNNNNNNNNNNNNNNNNNNNNNNNNNNNGCAGUCAAACGUGUUAUGCGUUACUUGAAGAGAACAAAGGAGUAUAUGCUCACUUAUCGGAGGUCUGGGAAUUUAGAGAUCAUUGAGUAUUCUGACUCUGAUUUUGCUGGAUGUCUAUAUGUGUUUGUAUUGGCUGGAGGUGCUAUAUCUUGGAAGUCUACGAAACAGACACUUAUAGCUCCUUCAACCAUGGCUACGGAGUUCAUGGCUUGUUUUGAAACAUUAGACCAUGACAUAUGGUUGCGGAAUUUUGUCAAUGGCUUACGUGUGGCUGAUGGUAUUGAAAGACCAUUGAGGAUUUAUUGUGACAACAAGUCCACGGUUCUUUACUCCAACAACAAUAGGAGUUCUACAAAGUCAAAAUUCAUUGACAUAAAGUUUCUGGUUGUUAAAGAAAGUGUUCAAAAUGGACAAGUUUCCAUAGAACAUAUAGGGACAAAUUUUAUGCUAGUUAAUCCACUAACUAAGGGUUUGGUACCUAAAGUCUUUCAUGAGCAUAUUGCUCAUAUGGGUGNNNNNNNNNNNNNNNNNNNNNNNNNNNNNNNNNNNNNNNNNNNNNNNNNNNNNNNNNNNNNNNNNNNNNNNNNNNNNNNNNNNNNNNNNNNNNNNNNNNNCAUAAUAAAGUUGAUGAUUUAUUGUUUCAUUUUGAAAUUGUACAUUGUAACAAUUGUGUUGCAAUUAAAGACUUUGGAUUGAUCUCACUAAAGAAUAAAGAAGGACCAGUUGGAAAUAGACAUGUUUGAGAUCACAUUGCAUGAAAUUUCCAUGUCACUCAUCCAUAUUUGAUCUAUGUCAUUGAGUAUAUUAAUAUGGUGAUCAUCGUGGUCGAGUCACACUUAAAUGUGAUGAAAGUUGUGGUGGUUCCAUAGUUGAUAUAUGAGAUGGACCGGAUUGUAUUAAGGAGAAGUCUAAAUGUAAAUAGCAUACGGAUGCGUGCCUAAAGAACUUGUGAUAUAAUUGUUUCAGGAAUAUAUGAAGCUCAAGUGAGAGAUUGUUAGAAUUUAUAAUUUCUAAUUAAGGUGGGCAUUAUAUAUUUGAUACAAUGAUAUCAAUUAUUUAUUUCCGGGGUUAUAUUAUAAGUGAUCUAAUUACUGGCUGCCUUUUGAUUUCUAAAAGUUGAUAAAUGAUGUGGGCUUAAUGGGUGGAUACCCAUCAGGUUAACUCAUAGGGGAUAAUGGGAACCCUAUAAGUUAACGCAUAAGGAAUGUUAUGGUCUCCAACACACCAAAUAAAAUUCAGUUUUCUCCUCUCCCCAUCAGAGUGAAAACACAAGUCCCAAGAGGAAUCAGGGAUUUGGUUGAGGAAGGCAUUCAUACCACAAAACCUCUUUCAGAAAUGUAGAUCAAAGGAGCACAUUCAGGAACAUGGAUUCAAGUAUGACAUUGCACUCUUUGUUUCAUAUAUGUGUGUGAGAAUCAUGAGAUUCAAUAUACUAGGAUUGGUAUUUCACCAAUCAUAAGGAAUUCCCAACAGACUCAAGUGUUCAAUUCUUAUGCUAGAUACUUGUUAGAAGAGACAAUCACACGUACCGAAAAAGAUUAGUUUUUUAUUCAAAAGAGUGAGAAAAUAUCAUUGGUAGUAUAAAAAACGAUACAAAUUAAAAGCGGAGUAGGGAUGAUAAUUAGUGGUCAUUAAACAUUCACCAACCAUGCAUAUUUCUUGCUACUAAUAUUAGUAACUUAAUUCCGAGGUCUGAUUUAAGUAUUUUAACUCAAGAGUCUAUUAGUUAAUAUAUCAAUUUUGGAUAUCAUAUUUUAAAAAAUUUAUAUUAUUUUCAUCUCUAAAUUUUUAUUUUAUUUGUAUAUAUGUAUUAUACAAAUAAUGUUAUCAGGACAAAAUAUUUCCAUAUUCAAAAACUUUUAGGACUGAGGAGCCUAACAGGGAAGGAAAUAAAGUUGGUGGAUUAAGAAUCACAACAAUUGAAUCUUACACCACAUCUUAACUAAAAAAACUUAAAAUCCAUUUCAUAAAUAAGACUUUCACUUGAAUUAAUAAUAUUUAAGACAAUUAGGAUAUUGGUUAUUAAGCUGAACAGUCACAUCGCAACAACCAAUAUAUCUCCAACUAUCCAACCACUCAACCACCUAUAUGUCUUAAUGUUUCUUCUUCUUUUAAAAUUUAUAUUUUAUUACUAUUAGGUAUAAAUAUUAAGACUUAUUAACUGAAAUCACUAACCUUAUUUAAUAUAUUUAUAUAUAUAUAUUGAGUCUUUUACUAUUUUGAAAUAUAAAAUAUAUAUAUAUAUAUAUAUAUAUAUAUAUAUAUAAUUAAUAUCGUGUUGAUUGUGUUCAAACAAUAUAAUACCAUGUAGGAGCAUAUCUUCCGUACAAUAAUUUGUGUCACUUCAUGUAACAUAAGCUAUGAUUAUUCAGAAAAAUAUUUAAUAAUUAAAUUUUAACUUAAAUAUAUUUUUCCAACCAAUCGCAAACUCAUAACACAUAGAGUGAUACUCAUUAUUAGCAUAUAUGCAUCCAUACCCUAUCAAAUUACCAAAUUUGGGUCAAGUUACACUCAUUUCAACCUAACUUCUAAUUACAUCUAUAAGUAUCUCCACUAUUGCAUAAAAAGGUACAUUAGAUUUCUAUGUAAUAAGAUUUGAAAAUGAUAAAUAUAUGAAGUCUUAGCAUGGAAAAUAAAGAGAUAAUUUCUAGGAUUUAAUUUAGUAGGUACAAGAAUCUUAUAAUUUUUUUAAGGUUCACCAUCUUCUCUACUAGUGUAUAGGUUAAUAUAAUUUUGUUUAUAAGAUAAGAUGACUAGGAAUCUUUGUGGCAAUAUACACUACUUAAACUAAGAGCUAACCCACUUAAGACAUUGUAUAUUUAACCCACUUUCUCUCUUAUAUUUUCUGAAAUAAAGCAUAUCAUGCGCACCUAGUUUCCUUCUUCGUGCUCUAAAUUAAACCCUUGCAUCUUUUGAAUAAUAUAAUGCAAACUGCAAGGUUUUUAGGCCACAUAAAUGGUGGUGCGCAAACUUUAAUUCCAUGCACGGAAUGAUGACAUGGAAUUAUUUUAUGGUUCAAUUAAUAUAAGUGCCAAGUGGUUGGUUACUUAAUUGAUUACUUGUAAAGCAAAACCAUACAUCUAAUUGAGAAAUAGAGUGACAAAAAAAAUUACAUUUUUAUGACAUUUUUUACUUCAUUCAAUAACGUCAUUCAAAAUUGUGUUGUUGAAUGACCGAUGUUUAUUACGAUAUUUGGCGUAGUGAGAUAUUAAGACAUUGGUUAAAAAAUCAAAUAAAAAGGUUGAGUUAUGAAGUGCUCUAAGAGGAUUGAUUGUAUAAGGAAUAAUAAGGGAAAUGUUAAGACAUUGGUUAAAAAAUCAAUUAAUAAGUUUUGGAAAAUUAACUACAACACUUCUCAAUAUGUGAAAAUAUCAUUUUUAAGAUAAAAUUUGUUUUUUCUCUUCCUUACACAAUAUUCUUAGAAUACUUAUUAACAUUACCCUAAAAUAGUUAUAUAGAUAAAUGUUUACAUAUAUGAUAUCUUAAAGAAUCAGUAGUUACAUUUUUUGUGUGAUUAACUAAAAAAUUAAAAAUAAUGAUAAUGGCAUACAUCUAUUGUUGCUCCAUCAACAUAUAAUAAUUUCUUUAACCAUGAGUGCAUUAGGGGAUGACCAUGACAGCUUGUAUUAUAAGUAAGACUUCUCUUCGGUAAUAGAGAAUAAAGUUGUGUGAAAAAAUUAAAAAAAUCUUAAAAUAAAAUAACACUUGUAUUUUUAUUAGUUAUAUUGAAAUUAUAAUUUUAUUGUUAAAAUCUGAAGAAAAAAAAACUUAUUUCUCCAUUAAUGGAAAGUAGUCUCACUCGUGUUCUACAUUCUCUCACAUUUAACUCCUAUAAAUUCCAUCUUAUAGAAUGCCAUUUUCAUCACAACACACAUUUUCUAAUACAAUAUUCUUAUCAAAGUUUAGCAAUAUUUCUUUGUUUUCUUUGCAAACACACUAACUAACAUGUCUUCAAUAGGUGCAAGUUCAGCUCAAAUCUUUGUCAUGAGGGAGAGACAAAAGGAGAAGAUGAAGAAAAUGGAAGAGGAGAGAAGAAGAAAAGAAAAUGUGGGUACUGAAGAGAUAAAGAUAGUUAGUUCUAGUGCUGGAAGGAGUAAUAAGAAGGUUCAUCCAGGUGGAGAACAAAUCUCAACCAGUAAUGUUAAUAAUCCAGCAUAAUAUAUGAUCCUAUGUACCAAAAACUACGCAUGGUUUAAUUUAUACUUUAUGUUUUCAUGGAUUAGAUCACACCCUUUUCCUUAUUUCCCCUUCAAAAAUGUUAUCUCUAUUUAUAAGCAAAGUUUGUCAUCAAAGUUGUUGUUGGGCUUAUAUAUGUAAUAUUAUGUUAAGUUUUUACUAUCAUCAAUCUUUUCUUUUGUAGUUGGUAUGUUGGAAUAGAAUCUUGUUUCCCAAAUUCUAUUUCAUAUUGUCUCCUGUUUAGGGAUGGCAAUGGGUCUUGUUGAGUUCGGGUAGUACAUUACCCAGAUCUGUCUCGUUGCUUUAUUUUUAGACUCAGACCCACCCCAAAUCUAUGUUGAUACUCGUUGGGUCUGCUACCCACAAGGCUUUGGAUAUCUAGUGGAUCUGCGGGUACCCAAUUAAAA